GUGCUUGCUUUGGCAGCACAUAUACUAAAAUUGGAAGGAUACAGAGAAGAUUAGCCUGGCCCCUGCGUGAAAAUGUUCGCCUGGGACUUGGCCAAAGCUGUC
ensembl:snRNA U6 U6 spliceosomal RNA